AGAUUGUAUGGCAUGCCUAUAACAUGUGACUGUUGUUGUCAAACAUGAUAAGACAUUGUGGAACGCUCUCCGGCGUCAAUUAAACAGGACCCGGCAUUUUCUGUUUAUAGGGCUGAUUCCUACUGAGCUACAGCAAUCUUUAAAAAGAUGACAGAAAACGGAGAGAAUAAUGUCAAAAAGGCCCGGAUGGAGGACGACCCUUUCCGAUGGCCCGGGUACACGGGGGAGGCGUACCCAGAGAUGUGUGACAUCCGGGCCAUGCCCCCACAACCCAAGGACUCCGAACUCAAGCCAGGUCAGCUACCGGAGAAACUGAUCAAACAGUACUUUGAAGAGGGCUAUUUGAUAAUAAAAGAUUUCUUCACAAAAGAGGAGCUCCAGGCCUGUAGGGACGACCUAGAAGAUGAGGUGGACAGGCUUGCUAAUAAGCUGUACAAGGCAGGGAAAAUCAAAAAUCUGUAUGAAGAAUACGAUCUGGACCAUCGAUUGAUCAAGAUCGAUGAGGAGUGGCCCGGCGCCGUGAUUCUGCUGCACAAAAUUGGACGUCUGCCCCCGUCUUUUAGAGAAUUAUGGGGCAACAAAAGACUUUUAAAUCUAAUAGAACAGCUGAUUGGUCCAGAUAUCGCGGGCAUGCCCAACUGGAACCUGCGAGACAAGACGCCCCACAACGAGGCCACGACAGUUCCAUGGCACCAGGGUAGGGACUGUAGAUUUAACCAAAAUCUGUGUUAUAUACUUUUUGAACCGAUUUCAUUUUGAUUCAUUCUUUUGACUGGUAGCAGUUUAUCUGAUACACAUUUUACAUUACGUCUGAUGCUAUAGACGCCGGCUAUCUGUCAACGGACAUCUACAAAGUGUUUAUGCCAACUGUCUGGAUCCCCUUUGUCAACACAAACAAACAAAAUGGCUGCAUGGAGGUUGUACCCAAAGGACACUUGAGUGGAAAGGUGGCUGUGCAUCAGUGCUGUGCUGGAGACACGUGGUACAUCAUGCUAGAGGAAGACGAAAUGAAAAAGAGGCUCGGUUGUUCCACAAAAGAUGCAGUUGUGUGUGAAAUACCUUAUGGGGGUUUUCUGUUGUUCAACAACUUCAUACCUCAUCGAAGGCAGGGAAGACUUCUGAAAAUUUGUUCUAAAUUUAGCUUUUCAAUUUAGCUUUGAAAUUUUUGAAAAAUUCAAAUUUUACAAUAAAUAUUUUAUUUUUAGUCUUGACAAUAAAUCGGACCAUAUUCGCUGGAGUGUUGAUCUGAGGUUUAAAGUCCCUGGAGAGAAUAACGGGAUGUUUGGGCUCAAACCUGACGUCAUCAUGCGGACCAAGGAAAACCCAAACAUGGAGAUAGACUGGGAAACGUUCGAUUCUCUGAACAGGACUGAGCUGCAGAUAAAAUCAGUCAAAGACAUCGUCGACAUAAAAGCUGAUCAAGAAUUUGAUGCGACUGUACAAGGGCCAUGGAUGAGAAAAUGGGAGAUCACGCACAUAAAUACACACGUCAAAAAGCAUCAACAGCAGGAAAAAGCAAAGGGAAAGUGACGAUGGACAUAAAAACGCUACAUUUUUCAGCAACAUUUUUAUUAUUCACUGUCAUAAAAAACAUUUUUCCCUGUGAUUUUGUGUUUUUGUGUUAAUUUGUAAAAUUAUAAUUGCAAUAAAAUGUUUGUUUAAUAUCCUCUCGAUUUUGUUUAUCAAAUAAAAGUAAAAGAACGAC
rnacentral:misc_RNA from 1 species